GGGGGUGUAGCUCAGUGGUAGAGCGCUCGCUUCGCUUGCGAGAUGUCUUGGGUUCAAAUCCCAACUCCUCCA
rnacentral:tRNA from 1 species